rnacentral:rRNA from 1 species
CCUACGGGUGGCAGCAGUGGGGAAUAUUGCACAAUGGGGGAAACCCUGAUGCAGCGAAGCCGCGUGAGUGAGGAAGUAUUUCGGUAUGGUAAGCUCUAUCAGCCGGGGAGAAAAUGACGGUACCCGACUAAGAAGCCCCGGCUAACUACGUGCCAGCAGCACCGGUAAUACGUCGGGGGCAAGCGUUAUCCGGAUUUACUGGGUGUAAAGGGUGCGUAGACGGCAAAUCAAGUCAGAAGUGAAAACCCAGGGCUCAACCUUGGGACUGCUUUUGAAACUGAGUAGCUAGAGUGCAGGAGAGGUAAGCGGAAUUCCUAGUGUAGCGGUGAAAUGCGUAGAUAUUAGGAGGAACACCAGUGGCGAAGGCGGCUUACUGGACUGUAACUGACGUUGAGGCUCGAAAGCGUGGGGAGCGAACAGGAUUAGAUACCCUAGUAGUC